GAAAUGGGAGAUUCAGAUGCAUAUCCAACAAAAUUUCGGGGGGAAUGAAAAUGGAAACAACUCAUAACCAGGGUUAUAGUAGUAAAUUACAUCAAAACUAGGUAUUUCAAUAGACUUCUCUUCUGGGGUCUGCUCGAUGUCUGAGGGAGACUCGUAGCAAGAGCAAGGUAUCAGGAAGGAAGAGUAGAAGCUAGGACCCUUUUCUCUAUUCCAUCAGGGAAAUAUGCUGUUCUUUUCGUAUUUCAAGGACUUGGUUGGUAGGGAAGUGACAGUGGAGCUGAAGAACGAUUUGGCAAUCAGAGGAACGCUUCACUCUGUCGAUCAGUACCUCAAUAUCAAGCUCGAGAACACUAGGGUUGUCGAUCAAGACAAGUACCCUCACAUGGUAUUUUCUCCUCUCUCACUCUUUUCAAUUCCACGGCCUCGAUUUUUUUUUUCCCUUUUCUGUAGUUAAUUAUGUGUUUGAAUUUCGACAAUUGUUUUUUUAUGGUUUUCGUCGCAUUGUUGUUUGCUAUAGUGGAUUUAGUUUGGGGAAUUUAGGGUUCACUGGUUUAGGUUAGGGUAUUCCUAGGGUUCGAUGUUUUGGUUAUUGUUGUUAUUUGUAAGCCUAGGAUAGCCUUUUUAUCAUAAUCCUUAUUAUGGGAUUAAUAAUGCCAGUCAAUGUUUAGUGUUUAGACUUUGUUAAGGUCCAUCAUUUUUUGGGAUAUAUUAAGGCAUCUUGUGAUUUUUGAACGAUUAUUAUUAAUGGAAGUUUGGGUUUCUUCGAUACGUGUUACUUGAAUGUCUGUUUCUUGAUCUCAUUUUCUUCCUUAGAUUAAAAUUACUUUUAGCUAUCAUUGGGAAUUUGGUGCUUCUUGGUUCUCAGUAGCAAAUAUGCUGAUGGAAUGUCGGUACUCAUUCCUGCAAUGUGCAAAUUUCCAGUCUACUAUUUAAGAAACAUCUGAUCAGGUAGACUACCUCCAUUUUAAAUUUUUAAUUUCCUUUCUGUUUAUCUCAACUCCUCUUGACUUCUUGUAGAAUUUCUGUUCCAACUUCUUGCAUUUGCCUCCAUUUUCUUUCUUGCAGAUAUAUCUCUUCCUACCAUUUCAAAUGCAUUGUUAUUUCUCAUAGAACAAUGAAAAUUAUGAUGCAUAUGCCUUGGACUCUAAGUCUCAGACAUACUCAUGUCUUUAUCAGCGGCGAUAUCAAUUAUUUUAGUAGCCCUUUUGGCAGUGAUUUGGGCAGUUUUCAAUAUACGUGCACAGAAUGUAAUUUUCUCCACUGGGGUUGUGCCUCAACUUGUGAAAGAUGGAUAAUUCUUCUGUUCUGGGCGCCUUUUCAGGGGCAUUUAUAAAAAUUUUGUUUUUUGCUUCAAUGCCUGUGUUGGUACAUUGCUAUUAUUGUUAAAUAUUAAUGUUUAAAAGAAUAGGCUAUCUCCAUCAAAACAUUGGACCUGAUCAUUGAAUAAAGCUUUAUGUGGUGAAUCUCAUGUCGUCUAUGUACCAAAACACUAGUGGGAGGAGAUUUGAACACUGAACACAUACAGGAAUCGAAUUGGAUUGCUUAUUAUUACAUGGGGUUUAAAUUAUUGUAUGUUAAAAUGCAUCUGGCUUAUGCAAUAUGCUGAAAAUAAUGUGGGAAGAAUGAUAAUGGCUUCUUAAUGAAUUGGAUUUUGUGUUAUUUAUACCUGACUUUAUAUUGGAGAUUGGAGUUUCAGGUAACUGAUUUAAAAGAGGAACAUGAAUUUUGGGUAUUGAUUUGAAUGAUGAUGGGGAGCUCAAUUUGAUAAACAGAGUUGUAAGAAAUCACAGCUGCAGGCAGCAAGGAUUGAAUUUUUGUUGUUCUAAUAGAUUUUCAAAUAUUCAUUUUUUAUACCUGCUAAUUAUGUCCCUGUUGGACCUUCUUUUGUUUGACUUGACAUUGUAGGCAUAACCAUGUGUCUAUUUUUAUGCCUGUUUCCUGAUGCAUUAUCUAGGGUGUUUAAAAAAAAUAUAUAAAAGAAAUUGUUUCUAUGCCUAUAUGGAUGUAACUUCAAUAAGUUUGUUGAAGAAUAUUUUGUUUCUCGUGCCCUUUAUGCUUAAUUUCUUUAUGUUGGCUGUCCUGUCAAGUGUCAAUUUGUGUGAGCGAGGGUUCAUGUAUGCAAACAUAUAUUUUAUAAGAUAAAUGCUUGAAUCCAUCCAUCAUUUCAAAAUUAGCAUCAUAUUUGUGAAUCCAUGAAUGUGUUUGCACGCAUCUUCAUAUGUGCCAUUUUUUCGAGACUAAGAUUGUGCUCAAUUCAUCAUUAUUAUGUUGAUAUUAUUCUGGGGAUUUCACUGUUCUUUGGUUGUGUCUUUAUAUAGUUAUGUUUUGCAUCAACCUAACUGUUAGUUAGGGGUGUGUGGUUUCAGUUCUAGUUUAGAGUCUACCUGGGAAUUGAAACCGAACCAAACUUUUGGUACAAUUCUGGUUCAAUUCUAUGAUGUUUCUGUUUGCUUCUAUUCUCAAUACAUCAGUUUCAAUUCCUUAAACAAUUUUAUAUAAUUGUUAUCAUAAAAAAUUAUAACUGAAUUAUCAUUUAAUAUUUUAAAGUUAGUUGCUAAUACAUAAUAUGUUGUAUAAUAUAAUAUAAUUUUUAGUUAUUUGUUAAUUAUAUAUUUUUUUAACUAUAAGGUGCAUAUAUAAUUAAGGAUUAAUGAUCAAGUAUAUUAAUUUUAAUUAAUAACUAUUAAGUGAUUUAAUGUAUUAUAAACAUAUGUAUAAAAUUGGUUCUUUGGUCAGUAUGGGUCCAAUAUGGUUUCAAUUUGGUUCUUAGUGAAGGACCAUAAUCAAACCAAAACUAGAAAAUAAGUUAUGUUCGGUAUAGUUUUGAUCGGUUUGGUUCGAGAUUCCCAAGAACUAUGCACACUCUUAUUGUUAGUACUCCAAAAACACUUGCACAUCUGAGCACAUGGUGAUUGGUUUGCAUCACCUCUUUCAUUUGACAACCCUGGUUGCUAGUGCAUCUUUCCCCUUCCCCUGCUAUCCUGCAUGAUUUUGCUCGAUGGAUGUAAUGAUUUUGUGUUCAAUUGCAGCUUUCUGUCAGGAACUGUUUUAUAAGGGGAUCUGUGGUUAGAUAUGUUCAGUUGCCUCCAGAAGGUGUUGACAUUGAUUUGCUCCAUGAUGCAACAAGAAGAGAAGCUCGGGGUGGCUGAGUUUCAUUUAAAACUGUUUCUCGUAUUUGUAUGAACAUCUGACGUAAUUGUAGUUUAAAAACAGCUGUUUUGACAUUCUAAUGCUGUAUGUUUGUCCUGGUGACACAUGAAGAUCGAAGCUACACUCUUAUUGACUGGAGCAGAUUGCUAUUG
rnacentral:misc_RNA from 1 species